AUCAAAAGAAACUUAUACUUUAUUAAUUUAGUUGAACAACCAAACUUUGAAAUUGAAUAAUUUGAAAGCAAAACAUGACUUGAACUUACAAACAUAUGACUGAUUUGCAUGCAUGAAGGGACCACAUACUCAUCAACAUGUUUGAUAUUUAUUAAAAUAUAACGUAUUCAGAAAUAAAGAAAAGAUAUUAAAAUGGGAAACUUUCUCUUAAGACAUAUAUGUAUCCGUUUCAAUUCUCUCGUCGAUGAUCUUCUGUCUUUUAUUAUAUCACCAAACGAUUCUUUGUUUUCUUUUGUAUCGUCGUCAGACUCCUGCAAGAAUAUAUGAUACAUGUUAACACACAAAAUUCGUAACUGACAAAAUUUGGGCCCUAAUCCUAUAUAUGUAACUUGGUAAAUUUUUGAAUUGUGGGACUUUACUUCAUUAACAUAGAUGAUUGCUUGUAGCAUUCUAAAGUAUGAUUGGCUGUAGCAUUCUAAAGUAUGAUUGUUUGUAGCAUUCUAAAGUAUGAUAAAUAUUAAUUACCUUUUAAGUAGACGAUUAAGUAAUCUAGUAGUGAGGAGGAGGCGGAGAUUUGUAAAGGUAUGGGUGGUGUGGAGGUGAGUAAACUGGAGGGGGAGAGUAAUGGACCGGAGGGGGAGAGUAGUGCACCGGUGGUGGUGGGGAGUGAUAUACGACUGGAGGGGGAGAGUAAUGGACAGGAGGAGGAGAAUAGUGCACAGGUGGUGGUGGAGAGUGAUAUACAACGGGAGGAGGAGNNN
rnacentral:lncRNA from 1 species